GUGGUUAUGACCCACCUGUGCAGAACGGAACCUGAGCCAUCUCUCCACCACCCAACUUCUCGAAUUCUUAGCAGACAGAUGCCAAGAGCCACUCACUUUGUCUGUCUCCGCCUUUUAUAUGUGACCAGUGUGAACACCACCAGCACCGUCACCAGGAGGACUGCUGCCAUGGCAACGGUAGCAGAGAUGAUAUUCUUCUGCAGGAAGCUCAGCAGCUGUCCGCACGGCAGACUCUCCCUGGAGGCACCUAGGUAGGAAGACACAAGAGCAGAAGCUAGAGGAGGCCUGAAUCCUUGCCCUACAGGUUGCAGAAUGUUUGUGCAAUCCACAAAGACCUAAACAAAAUGAGAAAAUGAACCACACCGAGAUAUCUACUGGCAAUCUCCAAACGACAUAACGCCCUUAGGAGAAAGAGGCAGGUUUGGAAAUGAGAAACCUUUGCAUUCCGGCUCUGCCUCUGGCUAUCCGUGACCCACGUGAGUAAGAGGGCUGGCAAAAUCCCUGGGGGCAUUUGGUCCAGGGAAAUGGGAGGCCAAGAGCUGUCUUUGGCAGGCAUGGGAAGACCCCAGAGACAUUGUUAUAUGUGAUCUGAGCUGUUCCAUGGAACAAUCUAGAAGCCAUGGGCAGGAGCUCAGCCUGAUCUUCAUGGUCUGUGUGAAUUGGAAAGGAAAACUAACAAGAACAAAUGGGCAGGGUCAGAAAGUGACUUCCACACCCCCAGACAACCUCAAGCCAAGCUGUGGUUCCAGCGACAGGGAGAUAUACCUGAAACCUUGAUAGGAAAUGGUGGCAGGGGUUGGUGGGUAAGCUUCCUGAAUCUUUGGGCAGGUUCACAAAGGAAACAAGACUAGUUGCUAUGGAAUGAAG
rnacentral:lncRNA from 1 species